UACGUAGGGGGCUAGCGUUGUCCGGAAUCAUUGGGCGUAAAGAGCGCGUAGGCGGCCAGAUAAGUCCGGUGUGAAAGUCAAAGGCUCAACCUUUGAAUGCCGCUGGAAACUGUCUGGCUAGAGUCCGGAAGGGGCGAGUGGAAUUCCUGGUGUAGCGGUGAAAUGCGCAGAUAUCAGGAGGAACACCGGUGGCGAAGGCGGGUCUCUGGGCAGUAACUGACGCUGAGGAGCGAAAGCGUGGGGAGCAAACAGG
rnacentral:rRNA from 1 species